UACGUAGGGUGCGAGCGUUGUCCGGAAUUACUGGGCGUAAAGAGCUCGUAGGUGGUUUGUCGCGUUGUCCGUGAAAACUCACAACUCAAUUGUGGGCGUGCGGGCGAUACGGGCAGACUGGAGUACUGCAGGGGAGACUGGAAUUCCUGGUGUAGCGGUGGAAUGCGCAGAUAUCAGGAGGAACACCGGUGGCGAAGGCGGGUCUCUGGGCCGAUACUGACGCUGAGACGCGAAAGCGUGGGGAGCAAACAGG
rnacentral:rRNA from 1 species